UACGUAGGGUGCAAGCGUUAAUCGGAAUUACUGGGCGUAAAGCGUGCGCAGGCGGUUUUGUAAGUCUGAUGUGAAAUCCCCGGGCUCAACCUGGGAAUUGCAUUGGAGACUGCAAGGCUAGAAUCUGGCAGAGGGGGGUAGAAUUCCACGUGUAGCAGUGAAAUGCGUAGAGAUGUGGAGGAACAUCGAUGGCGAAGGCAGCCCCCUGGGUCAAGAUUGACGCUCAUGCACGAAAGCGUGGGGAGCAAACAGG
rnacentral:rRNA from 1 species